rnacentral:rRNA from 1 species
GACGAACCGUGCGAACGUUGUUCGGAUUCACUGGGCUUAAAGGGCGCGUAGGCGGUCGGCCAAGUCUGGGGUGAAAUCUUUCGGCUCAACCGGAAAAGUGCCCCCGAUACUGGCCGUCUAGAGGGAGGUAGGGGCAUGUGGAACUUCCGGUGGAGCGGUGAAAUGCGUAGAUAUCGGGAGGAACACCAGUGGCGAAGGCGACUACCUGGCCUGUAACUGACGCUGAGACGCGAAAGCGUGGGGAGCAAACCGG